rnacentral:rRNA from 1 species
GAUGAACGCUGGCGGCGUGCCUAAUACAUGCAAGUAGAACGCUGAAGGAGGAGCUUGCUUCUCUGGAUGAGUUGCGAACGGGUGAGUAACGCGUAGGUAACCUGCCUGGUAGCGGGGGAUAACUAUUGGAAACGAUAGCUAAUACCGCAUAAGAGCAGUUGUUGCAUGACAGCUGUUUAAAAGGUGCAAUUGCACCACUACCAGAUGGACCUGCGUUGUAUUAGCUAGUUGGUGAGGUAACGGCUCACCAAGGCGACGAUACAUAGCCGACCUGAGAGGGUGAUCGGCCACACUGGGACUGAGACACGGCCCAGACUCCUACGGGAGGCAGCAGUAGGGAAUCUUCGGCAAUGGGGGCAACCCUGACCGAGCAACGCCGCGUGAGUGAAGAAGGUUUUCGGAUCGUAAAGCUCUGUUGUAAGAGAAGAACGAGUGUGAGAGUGGAAAGUUCACACUGUGACAGUAUCUUACCAGAAAGGGACGGCUAACUACGUGCCAGCAGCCGCGGUAAUACGUAGGUCCCGAGCGUUAUCCGGAUUUAUUGGGCGUAAAGCGAGCGCAGGCGGUUAGAUAAGUCUGAAGUUAAAGGCUGUGGCUUAACCAUAGUACGCUUUGGAAACUGUUUAACUUGAGUGCAAGAGGGGAGAGUGGAAUUCCAUGUGUAGCGGUGAAAUGCGUAGAUAUAUGGAGGAACACCGGUGGCGAAAGCGGCUCUCUGGCUUGUAACUGACGCUGAGGCUCGAAAGCGUGGGGAGCAAACAGG